GAUGAACGCUGACAGAAUGCUUAACACAUGCAAGUCAACUUGAACUUCGGUUUGGGUGGCGGACGGGUGAGUAACGCGUAAAGAACUUGCCUCACAGAUAGGGACAACAUUUGGAAACGAAUGCUAAUACCUGAUAUUAUGAUUAUAUGGCAUCGUAUAAUUAUGAAAGCUAUAUGCGCUGUGAGAGAGCUUUGCGUCCCAUUAGCUAGUUGGAGAGGUAACGGCUCACCAAGGCGAUGAUGGGUAGCCGGCCUGAGAGGGUGAUCGGCCACAAGGGGACUGAGACACGGCCCGUACUCCUACGGGAGGCAGCAGUGGGGAAAAUUGGACAAUGGACCAAGAGUCUGAUCCAGGAAUUCCGUGUGCACGAUGAAGUUUUUCGGAAUGUAAAGUGCUUUCAGUUGGGAAGAAAAAAAUGACGGUACCAACAGAAGAAGUGACGGCUAAAUACGUG
rnacentral:rRNA from 1 species